rnacentral:rRNA from 1 species
GUCUACGGCCAUACCACCCUGAACGCGCCCGAUCUCGUCUGAUCUCGGAAGCUAAGCAGGGUCGGGCCCCGGUUAGUACUUGGAUGGGAGACCGCCUGGGAAUACCGGGUGCUGUAGGCU